AUCGAACGCUGGCGGCAGGCCUAACACAUGCAAGUCGAGCGAGCGGCGGACGGGUGAGUAAUGUCUGGGUAACUGCCUGAUGGAGUGGGAUAACUACUGGAAACGGUAGCUAAUACCGCAUACCAUCAGAGGUGCUCAGAUGGGAUUAGCUAGUAGGUGGGGUAACGGCUCACCUAGGCGACGAUCCGUAGCUGGUCUGAGAGGAUGACCAGCCACACUGGGACUGAGACACGGUCCAGACUCCAACGGGAGGCAGCAGUGGGGAAUAUUGCACAAUGGGCGCAAGCCUGAUGCAGCCAUGCCGCGUGUGUGAAGAAGGCCGUCGGGUUGUAAAGCACUUUCAGCGGGGAGGCGUUACCCGCAGAAGAAGCACCGGCUAACUCCGUGCCAGCAGCCGCGGUAAUUC
rnacentral:rRNA from 1 species